rnacentral:rRNA from 1 species
UACGGAGGGGGCAAGCGUUGUUCGGAAUCACUGGGCGUAAAGGGCGUGUAGGCGGUCAGGUUAGUGAGAUGUGAAAUGCCCCGGCUCACCCGGGGACCUGCAUUUCAAACUGCCUGGCUUGAGUAUGGGAGAGGAUGAGGGAAUUCCUGGUGUAGCGGUGAAAUGCGUAGAUAUCAGGAGGAACACCGGUGGCGAAGGCGGUCAUCUGGCCCAAUACUGACGCUGAGGCGCG